CAAUAGCGUAUAUUAAAGUUGUUGCGGCUAAAAAGCUCGUAGUUGGAUUUCUGCUGAGAACGACCGGUCCGCCCUUUGGGUGUGUAUCUGGCUCUUUCUUGGCAUCUUCUUGGUGAACGUUGCUGCACUUGACUGUGUGGAGCGCUACCCAGGACUUUUACUUUGAGGAAAUUAGAGUGUUUCAAGCAGGCAUACGCCUUGAAUACAUUAGCAUGGAAUAAUAAGAUAGGACCUCGGUUCUAUUUUGUUGGUUUCUAGAGCUGAGGUAAUGAUUAAUAGGGAUAGUUGGGGGCAUUCGUAUUUAACUGUCAGAGGUGAAAUUCUUGGAUUUGUUAAAGACGGACUACUGCGAAAACAUUUGCCAAGGAUGUUUUCAUUGA
rnacentral:rRNA from 1 species